CUCAUACCUCCCAGAAGCCUCUGCGUCCAGGGCCAGGGCCCAGGACCCGGAAGCAAACCCCAAGCUCUUUCACCGCACUUCAGAGGCAGAGACGGAGACCAAUCCGCAGCAGGCAAGGUGGAAGUGGGCGUGACGACAACAAGGGGCGGGGCUGAAACGGCCCAGGGGGCGGGCAUUUGAAAUCACUGCUUUAGAGUAGACCCUAAACAUCAUUUUAUACCUUCAGGAACCAAUUACUUAAUGUGUCUUCCGUCUUUCCCUUCCCCGACCCCCUCCCAGACUCCUUCAUUCCGGUGCUGCGUGGACGGAAAGCCCCGGGUAGCCGACACCAGGUUCCCGGCUAGCGAGAGAGAGCGUAGAGAAGGAUUACACCAAACUGUGUAAAUCCUACGGCUCCUGCUUCCUCUCUCCUGAGCUAGACCCAACAAGCCUAGAGAGCUGGGCUACGGAAAAACUAGUGUUUUCAUUUAAUUGGAUAUGAAGAAAGAACAAAUAUGUACGGGGGCAACCACGAUCUUUACAAAGAACAUAAGUUCCAGGAAAGCAGGAACCUUGUCUCUCUUGUUCACUGGUGUAUCCUCUGCAUAUAGAACAGUGCCUGGCACAUAAUAGGUGCUGAGAGAAAAAAGUAAUUUACAUUCGGCUAGUCUGAAAUCCAGGUUUGACAUGAAGAUACGCCAAGAAAGAUGGUUUCUUUUCAGGAAAGAAUCACUAAAUGAGAAGUCAUAUGGCUAUCAGGCUAUAUAUAUAUUAUCAAAAUUCUAAUUCGGUCAGCCCUACCCCCAGUCCAAUUACAACUGUAAUUUAAACCAACCUCCCUCUUCUUUCAAUUGAAUCAUUGUCCCCAAUUCCAGUAAACCCUCUUGUUUACCAAGUUACCAACCCACAAGCUGAAAACUUUACUUGAAAAUGUUUCCUUGAGGCUUUUAAUAAGAAAAUGAAGGGGAAAAACCCAGUGGUCACAAGUCAGAAAUCACAUUUAAAAGUAAGCAUAAAUAUAUAAACAUAAUGGCAUUUGUUUAAAUUUUUUAGGUAGAAAAUGAUCAAUUUUCUAAGACGAAAGCUGAAACUUUGUUUUGACAAGAAUAGGGAAAAAAAGUAGCUUGCCUUACACCAACAAAUUCCUGAUUUUAAAUGAAGGUGCUCUGGGGCCCAGACAGAUGACCCAGCUUCAAAAUGAAAUUUGCUGCUGGUCCAGGCUAGCUUACUAGAUAAUAGUACACUUUAACCACCUUUUACAUAAUCUGAGCAUAUGGCUACCUCAUUAGUUGACCAGCCCAUAAUUAUCUAGAUAGUUAAAAAUGAACAUAUUAAAAAACAGUUAAAACUAAGCAACUAAAAUGGGGAAAAAUAGACAGGCAUACCAGGCAAAUUCUAAGCAAUUCCAACCAAAAACUAUGUAGCAACAUGAAUUAUCAAAAGGAUUUUUUAAACAGAAUAGCAUUAACAAACAUGAAUAGGGCCAUCUUUAUCGAAUCAUCAAGAAAAAUCCACUAGGAAAAUAUUACAGUCAUGAAAAUGUAUGCAACUAUUACAUAGUCUGGAAAAAUAAAGCAAAAAUAAAGAAUUAAAAGGAAAAACACAAUUACAAUGGGAAUUUUUUUAAAGGACGUUUUUCUCAGAUUGAUAGGUCAAGCAGACAGAUUAACAACAUUGAUGCAUUGUGUGUAUAGAAAAAUAUCCUUAUUGCAUUUAUAUAUGCAUAUAUAUUUGUAUAUUGCAUUUAUAGGUUUAUAGAUUUAUAGAAAAUCCUUUAAAACAAGAGAACACACAUCAUAUUUAAUAAACAUUGAAGAUUUACAAAUUUUAAUCAAAUAGCACCCAAAUAAGUUUCAAUGAAUGCUUAUAUAUAUUUCUUAAUGAUAAUAUUUAGUUUUGAAAAUUUUGAACUUUAUGUAAAUGUUCAAAAUGUUUAUAUGAAUGAAUUGUGUAUACUGUGUAGCUGUAGUAGACUACAUAGAAUUUCAUUGUGUAAAAAUACACAAUAUAUGUUAUUUAUUCUAACAGUUGUGUUUUCCAGUAUGGGUGUUACAGAUAAGGCUACUAUGAACCUUCUUAUGAAUGUGCAGAGAUGCAUGUGUGUACAUUUCAUUUGUAUAUAUCCCAUUCUUGUUCUUGUUCCAUAGUUGCACCACACUUGAUACUAUCCAGCUUUCCACUCACCUGGUGGGUGAUAGUAAUCUCUUAGUGAGGUCUGAAUUUGCAUUUUCUUGAUUACCAAUCACUUUACAUAUGUUUAAUGUCCAUUUGGAUUUCUUUUGUGACGUAUCUCUUUAAGUCUUUUUUCUAUUGGUUCCUCAGAGCUCUUAAUACCUUAGCCGUCAGUUCUGUCACUUAUUUGUGCUACAUGUGUAUUUUCCAUUUCUUGGCUCCUCAUUUUGGUAUAUUUCGACAUAUAAAAAGUCUUUAAUAUUUGGGUGUUUUGAUUGAUUGGUCUUUUCCUUUCUAUUUAGUGCAUGGUAUUGAGAAAUCUUCCCUACUUUACAGUUAUAUAAAUAUUCUUGGAUAUUAUUUUCUGAAAUUCUUAUAGUUAUAGCCUACACAGUCCCACUAGGAAUUCAUUUUUGUGCAUAGUGUGACAGAGGGGGCUUGAAAUCUGGUAAAGCAAGUCUUCUAGUCUUGUCUCUCUUUUAUGAUUCCUGGCCCUUUGUGCCUCAAUAUAAAGUAUGUAUGUUCUACAAAAAUACUUUUGGGAUUUUGAUUAGAAUAACAUUGAAUCUAUUGAUCAAUAUAAGAAGAAUUGACAAUUCAACAAUAUUGAAUCUUUAAAUCUAUUAAUACAUUAUGUCUUUUGAUUCACUUAAGUCUACUUUAAUUGCCUCUCAGUAAUUUGUUUUACUAUCUUUACAGAAGACUUGCAAAAUUUUGUUAGCUUUAGCCUCAGCCGCUAAAUUUUUAAUACUAUUGUAAAUGGCCUUGUUCUUAAAUUUUGCUGUCUAAUUGGUGUUGGUAUAUAUAAAUCGUUUUUUAUAUAUUGCUAUUUUAAAUUCAGAGACCUUUCCAAACCCUCUUAUUAAUUAAAAUAGCUUAUUUAUAGGUCUUUUGGAUUUUUCACAUAUGCAGUGAUAUCUGGGAAUAAUGACAACUUUGUUUCUUCCUUUCCAAUCUUUCCCCUCCCCCUCUUUUUUUUCUUUGAUGUCUUUGUUGGAUAGGACAUCCAGGGCAAUGUUGAAUAAAGAAAUCACAAUCAUCCUUGUCUUUUUCCUGAUCAGAAAGGAAAAACUUUUAACUUUUCCUUCUUAAGUAUGAUGUUUCCUGAAGGUUUAGGGUAGAUGCAUUUUAUUCAAUAAAAUUUCCCUAAAAUUUUUAGUUUGCUAAAUGGAUGGUGAGUUUUAUCACUUUCCUACAUCUAGUGAGGUUCUCUUUUAGUCUGUUAGUGUGUUACAUAUUAAUUUUUUUUGCUUAAUCGUCAACCUUUCAUUCUUGAAAUAAACCCAUCUUGAUCGUGAUGAAUUUAUUGCAGGAAUCAGUUUACUCAAAUUCUCUUUAGGACUUUUAUAUCUAUGUUCGUAAGUGAGAUUAGCGCAUUAUGUUCCUUUCUCAUAGUGUCCUCGUUGGAGACUUAUCUCAUAAAAUUUGUAACAUAAAAUGUGUUGGAAAUUUGUCUCUUUGGGGAAAUUUGUUUAAGGUUGGUGUCAUUUCUUCUUUGAAUGUUUGGUAGAAUUUGUUGAUUAGGUCAUCUGGGCUUCGAAUUUUCUUUAUGAAGAGAGUUAUAGAUGUACUUAGUGUUCUAGUUCUUCUUGUGUCCAUUUUGUUAUUAUGUUUUUCUAAGAAUUUGUUUUAUCUGAAUUUUAAAAUAUAUUGAUUGGGUUAAAGUUGUUUGUACUACCUUUUUCCUUUUUUUUUUUUUUUUAAUGUCUGCCAUUGUUAUAGUGAUGAUUUUUUUAUCUUUAGUGAUAUUGGUUAUUUGUGCCUUCUAUUUUUGGUCUUUGCUGUUUUCACCAGAGGUGAGGUGCCUGGGUGGCUCAGAUGGUUAAGCAUCUGACUUCAGCUCAGGUCAUAAACCCAGGGACUUGGGAUCCAGUCCUGCAUCGGACUCCUGGCUCAGUGGGGAGUCUGCUUCCCCCUCUCCCUCUCCCCCUUUUUAUGCUCUCUCUCUCUCUCUCUGUCUCAAAUAAAUGAAUAAAAUAUUAAAAAAAAAAAAAACUCUUUUCACCAGAGGUUUGUCGAUUCUAUUCAGCUUUUCAAAAAAAACCAACUUUUGGUUUUGUUCAUUCUCUCUAUUUUAUAUUGGUUUUAUAUUUCAUCAAUUUCUGGUUGUAUUUUUAUUAUUUUCUUCUUCUACCUUUUUUUUUUUUUUUUUGCUUUUUUUCUAACUUCCUGAGAUGGAAUUUUUCAGACUUCUUUUGUUUCCUUUCUUAUUUAUUUAAGUCUAUAAAUCUUCCUUUUAAUACGUUUUACCAGUAUCCCACAAGAAAUGCAGAAUACCCAUAAAGUAGUUCCUAAUUUCAUCUUUAUUUCUUUCUGAUUAAAGGUUUGUAUAGAAAUUUAUUUUUAAUUUGAUAAAAUUGAGUGUUUUCUACAUGUCUUUUUAGUAUUAAUUUUUAACUUUAUUGUUUCUAAUUAUGUCCUGCCUGCUUUUAGCCCUUUGACAUUUGUUAAAACUUGUUUUAUUGCCACAGUUUUAUGGUCAAUUUUGUAAAGUUUCCAUAGUGCUUGAAAAAAAAUUACAUUUUGUGGUUUGGGAGUAUAAAGUUUGAUAUAUGCCCAUUAGGUCAAUUUUUAGAUUGCAUUGUUCAAAUAUUCUAUAUUGUUCUAUAUUCUAUACAAUGUUACAUUGUUCAAAUAUUCAAAUAUUUGGUCAGUUAGUAGAGUCCUGGUUUAUGUCUAUCUUUCUUGGGUCCCUGUCACUCUCAAAAGUGUGUCAGAUUAGGUGAUAAAUGAUAUGAUGUAAUUUAAAGUUAAGAACCACUCUUAAUAAAAUCUGAAAUAAAUGUAGAAUUUCUACUAAAUCAGUAAACAUUCACUAUUUUACUAGAGAUCAUAUCUAAUUAUGUAAGACUUCCAUUCCUGUCCAGCUCAAAAAAAAAAAAAAAAAAAAAGAAAGAAAGAAGAAAAAAGAAAAAAGCUAUGACUACUGGAAAAGAAGAGAAAUAAUUUUUGUGGGUUUUUUUUUUUUUUUUUUUUCCGUAAAAUAUCACCAUCUGUGUGGAAAUACAGAACACUCUUGAGUCAGUGGUCAGGCUAGUAUAACUAAUAGGAAAAAGAGGUAAAAGUGAAACAAUAUAUAGUUUAAAAAUAAUGAAAAUUAACAGAAAAAAGUGUCAUCACAAUACACUCAAAAAACUAACAUGAUCUUAAGAAUGUAUCUAAAGCAACAGAUACAUUAUGGAUAAAAUUCUGAAACUCUUUUGAAAUAUGUACAAGAUCUGAGUAAAUGGAGAAAUACCAGUUAAAGAAUGGGAAUUCUCAGUAUGGGAGCUAUGUGUACCUCAGAUUUUUCUCUAACUCAUAAAAUUUCAAUUCAAAUCAAUAGGAUUUUUGCAGAAACUGAAAAAUGUGUCCUAAAAUUAAUGCUGAAAUUUAACUCUACUAAUCUACCAAAUUAAUUCUGGAAAAGUACAUAGGGACUUGCCUUACCAAUUAUCAAUAGUAAUUGUAAAGCUAUUAUAAUUGAAAUGGUGUAGGCUCAGCACAGAAAUGGGCCACUUGGUGGACUUGAAUGGAAAGUUUAGAAAGAGAUCCAUGCUUAUAAUGGAACUUGGAAUAUGAGAGUGGAGGAUUCCAACUCAGUGGGGGAAAAUGGUGGUAGACAAUUAGAUUUCUUAAAAAAACAAAAGCAAAAAUAACAAUAUAUAUCCCUACCUCCCAACUGCAGUGACACAACAUUCUAAAUGAAUGAAACAGAUAAAGAUGAAAUACAAAGAAAACAAAAGAAAAUUAAAUCUUUGUGACUUCAAGAAACAGUGGGUAACUUAAACAGGGCAUACGUAAACAAAUCAUAGUGGAAAAGAUUAACAAGUGUUAAGUUUGAUUUUUCAAAAUAACUAAAAAACUGCCAUAAGCAAAUUUAAAUAGAGAUGGUAGGAUGAGGUAGGAUACUUACACCAAUACAGUAGACAUAGCAUUGGUAUCACUUUUAAAGACAUUUAAAGAAUUUAAAGAAUUCUUACAAAAUCAGUAGAAAAACAAAACUAACUGAAAAAAUGAGCAAAGGAUGUAACUGGUAAUUCAUAAAACUGAAACCCACAGAAGGUCAAUAAUCAAUGAAAAAGCAUGUCACCUCAUCAGGAAACAAGCCCACACAAUAAAAUAAAAGGGGAUAUGUUACUUUGCCAAUCAGAUAGUUAACUAAAGCUUUGACAUUAUCAAGUGCAUCUGGGGGUAUGGAGAAAUUCUCUUACUCUGCUAGUGCAUGUGUUAAUUAUGAAAAUCACUAGGUAAAGCAAUUUGACCAUGCCUAAUAAAAUACAAAAUGUACUUUCUGUAUCACCUAAAAGUAUGUGCCCUAGAUAAAUUUUCACAUACAAUUUUUAAGAACACAUGUAAAAGGUUUUUAAUGCAGCAUUGUUUAUAAUAAAAAACAGUGGAAGUAAUCUAAAUACCAACUAAUAGAGAAAUGCGUUAAAUAUAUUCUUAUGACAGACUAUAUACACAUAUAUAUAUAUGUAUAUAUGAAUUGAAAUAAUGUUGAAUUUAAAAAUUGAAAAAAUAGCAUAUUUGUAAUGAAAUUUAUAUAAAAUAACAGAUACACAAAACAAUACUUCAUAUUAUUAGUUGAUACACAACACAUAUACACAUACAAGUGAAAAGACAUCUACCAAUCAGAAAUGCACCAAAUUUAUAAUUGUUGUUGUUUAUGGGGCUGGAGAGGAAAAGCAAAUUGGGAUUUGGGGUUUACAUCAUCUGAAACAUUUAUUUCUUCUAUUUAAAAAUACUUGAAGCAGGAAUAAGAUUCUUUAGGAUGUCUGUUCUCACUACUUCUAUUCAACAUACACUGAAGAUUCUAAUCCUAGGGCAUUUAGGCAAGAAAAAAAAGGCAUCAAAGUUGGAAAGGAAGAAAUAAAAUUAUCUUUAUUGACAGAUGGCAUGAUUUUGUAUAGAGAAAAUCUUAAGGAACCACUAAAGGACUACUAGAAUGAGUAAGUUCAGCAAGAUUUCAGGAUGCAAGACCAUUAUAUAGAAAUCAGUUGAUUUCUGUACACUAGCAAUGAGCAAUCUGAAUUGAAAAUAGAAUUAAGAAAACAAUUCUGUUUGCAUCAAAAGAAUAAAAUGCUUAGGAGUAAAUUUAACAAAAGUGUAAGAUUUCUACGUUGGAAACUACCAAACAUUAAAGAAGAGCUAAAUAAAUGGAAAGAUAUUCCAUAUUCAUGGAUCAGAAGACUUAAUUUUGUUAAGAUGGCAGUACUUUCCAGAUUGAUCUAUGAGUUCUGUACAAUCCUAUUAGAAUUCCUUCUGUGCCCCCCCCAACCGUAGAAACUAAAAGUUGAUAUAUAAACACAAUGACUUGGAGUCGCCAAAACAAUCUUGAAAAGGAACAAAAAAUUUAGAGGAUUCACACUUCCUGAUUUUAAAACUUACUAUAAAGCUGCUAUAAUUAAGACAUUGGUAUGAGUGUGUGUGUGUGUAUACACACACACACACACACACACACACACAAUUAAAUGGAAUGAAAUUGAGACCCCGAAAUAAACCUUUACGUAUAUGGCCAGUUGAUUUCAACAAAGGUUUCAAGACAAUUCAACAGUGAAAGAAUAGUUUUUUCAACAAAUGUUGCUGGAACAAUGGAUAUCCACAUACAGAAGAAUGAGUUUGGAUCCCGACCUCAUGCCAUAUACAAAAAUUAAGU